rnacentral:rRNA from 1 species
AGAGUUUGAUCCUGGCUCAGGACGAACGCUGGCGGCGUGCCUAAUACAUGCAAGUCGAACGCUUCUUUUUCCACCGGAGCUUGCUCCACCGGAAAAAGAGGAGUGGCGAACGGGUGAGUAACACGUGGGUAACCUGCCCAUCAGAAGGGGAUAACACUUGGAAACAGGUGCUAAUACCGUAUAACAAUCAAAACCGCAUGGUUUUGAUUUGAAAGGCGCUUUCGGGUGUCGCUGAUGGAUGGACCCGCGGUGCAUUAGCUAGUUGGUGAGGUAACGGCUCACCAAGGCCACGAUGCAUAGCCGACCUGAGAGGGUGAUCGGCCACAUUGGGACUGAGACACGGCCCAAACUCCUACGGGAGGCAGCAGUAGGGAAUCUUCGGCAAUGGACGAAAGUCUGACCGAGCAACGCCGCGUGAGUGAAGAAGGUUUUCGGAUCGUAAAACUCUGUUGUUAGAGAAGAACAAGGAUGAGAGUAACUGUUCAUCCCUUGACGGUAUCUAACCAGAAAGCCACGGCUAACUACGUGCCAGCAGCCGCGGUAAUACGUAGGUGGCAAGCGUUGUCCGGAUUUAUUGGGCGUAAAGCGAGCGCAGGCGGUUUCUUAAGUCUGAUGUGAAAGCCCCCGGCUCAACCGGGGAGGGUCAUUGGAAACUGGGAGACUUGAGUGCAGAAGAGGAGAGUGGAAUUCCAUGUGUAGCGGUGAAAUGCGUAGAUAUAUGGAGGAACACCAGUGGCGAAGGCGGCUCUCUGGUCUGUAACUGACGCUGAGGCUCGAAAGCGUGGGGAGCAAACAGGAUUAGAUACCCUGGUAGUCCACGCCGUAAACGAUGAGUGCUAAGUGUUGGAGGGUUUCCGCCCUUCAGUGCUGCAGCUAACGCAUUAAGCACUCCGCCUGGGGAGUACGACCGCAAGGUUGAAACUCAAAGGAAUUGACGGGGGCCCGCACAAGCGGUGGAGCAUGUGGUUUAAUUCGAAGCAACGCGAAGAACCUUACCAGGUCUUGACAUCCUUUGACCACUCUAGAGAUAGAGCUUCCCCUUCGGAGGCAAAGUGACAGGUGGUGCAUGGUUGUCGUCAGCUCGUGUCGUGAGAUGUUGGGUUAAGUCCCGCAACGAGCGCAACCCUUAUUGUUAGUUGCCAUCAUUCAGUUGGGCACUCUAGCAAGACUGCCGGUGACAAACCGGAGGAAGGUGGGGAUGACGUCAAAUCAUCAUGCCCCUUAUGACCUGGGCUACAC